rnacentral:lncRNA from 1 species
CCACCUUGUGCCGCCACCAUUGAAGGAGAGGAGAGGUCAGAGGCAAAGGGGCUUAGAGUGAGAAAAUGCAAGGAGAAACUGACGGGAGCAACACAGAGAGCAAAGUUUCACUCCAUUUUUCUUGGUUUUAUCUUCUCAAACCCAUGUUUUACUUUUGGUUUAAUUUGAAAAUAAUGUGUAACUAAAUUUAUUUUGGCUAGAGGUUAAUUCAAAGCCAUGAAUAUAUUUGUAAUAU